rnacentral:lncRNA from 10 species
UGUCUCCCUUCCUGCAGAGGUUGUACAUCAUUGUAACUGGCCGUAGCAGGCUAAUGGUGACCCCAUGAAAACAUGUUCACAUUCAUGUUCAUGUUCAUUAUAUGGCAAAAGAUGUAAUUAAGACUUUGAGAUGUGGUGUAUAUCCUGGAUUAUCCCGAUGGGGUCUGAAUACAAUUACAUGUACCAUCCUAAGAGAUAGGGAAUUUUGGGACACAAGAGAAGAAGCAGAUGUGAAGAUGCAACAAAGAGAGAUGUGGCCACAAGCCAAGGCAUGCCAACAGCCACCAGAAACUAGAAGAGUCAAGGAAUGGAUUCUCCUACAGAGUUUCUGGAAAGGGGGGUUGCUCUACUGACAUUAUGAUUUUGGACUUCUGGCCUCCAGACCUCAGAGCGAAUAAACUUCUAUUGUUUUAA